UACAGAGGUGGCAAGCGUUGUUCGGAAUUACUGGGCGUAAAGGGCUCGUAGGUGGCCAACUAAGUCAGACGUGAAAUCCCUCAGCUUAACUGGGGAACUGCGUCUGAUACUGGAUGGCUUGAGUUUGGGAGAGGGAUGCGGAAUUCCAGGUGUAGCGGUGAAAUGCGUAGAUAUCUGGAGGAACACCGGUGGCGAAGGCGGUUCUCUGGGCAUGUCCUGACGCUGAGGAGCGAAAGUGUGGGGAGCGAACAGG
rnacentral:rRNA from 1 species